UACAUGGGGUGCAAACGUUGCUCGGAAUUAUUGGGCGUAAAGCGCACGUAGGCGGUUUGUUAAGUCGGAUGUGAAAUCCCUCGGCUCAACUGAGGAAGUGCAUCCGAAACUGGCAGGCUUGAGUACUAAAGAGGGUCGCGGAAUUCCCGGUGUAGAGGUGAAAUUCGUAGAUAUCGGGAGGAACAUCAGUGGCGAAGGCGGUCUGCUGGGCCGUUGCUGACGCUGAGGCGCGACAGCGUGGGGAGCAAACAGG
rnacentral:rRNA from 1 species